GGCGGGGUUCCGCUCCCUAUCGGGGUCUACCUCCCCCUGCCAGGGAAGAGAAGACGGGGUGCUGGUUUCCAGCCGGGGUGGACGCACGAGAAGUAAGUGGGCGACCCCAAGGCAGGGGAUGCGAAUCCUGGACUGAAGGAAGAUGCCCAUCUCCUGUGCCUGGGAGGGUCUGCAGGGGACGCUCGUAAGGGGUUCUCGUCCCUGCUGAUUUCCCCAGAAGUGACCCAACAUCGCCUCGGUGGAGGAUGUGGACGCCCGCAGGACCGGUUGGCCACGUAGAAGGGGCUCAAUGAAUGCAUCUCACCCUGCUGAUCCCCUCCCCACCAACUUCCUUGCAGCUUCUGUUCCUGCCCCGACGGCCCUGACUCCUCCCUCACAGUACUGCCGCCGCAGGAACCGGUGCCCACCUUGGUUGUGCCCCGGGCGGCAGCAGGCACCAGUCCGGUUUUUCUUCUUGUCCAUCACUGCUCCCGCCCCCACGACGUUUAGAACCAGGCCGAGUCCACAGUAGGCAGACGCUUUUUGCUAAACUGAGAACGUGCCACUGGUUCUAACAAGAGAAUCCACGGUGACCAUCUGUCUGCUCUAAUCAUCACCCCCACCCCCUGCAGCGUCACCGGAGGGGUGUUACUAAACACGAAUUGAAUCCUUUCACUCCUCCACCCCUCACCCCCACCCACAGACUGCAGGAAAUUCGUCCACCUUUUCCAGCCCUUGGCCUUGCCUCAGUGUCGUUUCCCAUUCCUGAAUUAACUUGCAUACAUUCACUCAACAGGUCCUUUAGAGGAGGGGAAGGGGGAAGAUUUAUAAAGAAUUGCCGAUAGUUCCUUCUUGAGACCUCCUUCAUACCUUUGCACACAAGAUUAUCCUGGCUGCUCGGCAAAUUCCUUCUCCGCCUUUAAAAGCUACUUCAAAAGUCACCUCCUCUGCGAAGCCUUCUCUUUCUAUUAUGAUUGGGAGUCCUUUUCCAGUGCUGCCAUAGAAAUUCGUACAUAUGCCUAUGACAACAAUUAGCCUUGUGAGUGCUCUGUGCUUUGUCCGCCCUGAACGGCACCGCGGGUAGGCCGAGUAACCCGAAGCCUAUAUUCUUUGGAAGUCCAAUUUAGCCAGAGCCGGCGUGACGUAAACGUCGUUUCCAACUGUCACAAGGGGAUUGGGAUCCAUUUUCGAGAAUGUUGUUACAAAUUCGAAAUAAAAAUGGAGGACGGCGAUAAAAAGCGAAACCCCUGCCGUGCCAUUGCUUUCGCAAUGCCGUGACUCGGAUUCGAACCGAGGUUGCUGCGGCCACAACGCAGAGUACUAACCACUAUACGAUCACGGCGAGCUACUGGGGAUUCGGCCUUCGGUUUCCUCGCCUGAGUUCUUCUGUGUUGAAAGCCCCGCCCCCUCAUCACGUCAUUAUUUGUUCCCGCUGAGCUGGGGCUUCGCCUCGCCUCGCGCGAGCGCAGACGCACUGGUCUUCCUGCUUUCUUGAGUUCGAUCCGCGCUCGGCGCGGGCCAGAUCCCGCCGCUUCACCAGUUUGGAGGCUGCGCUCGAGCUUUCCCUUGACCCCGCGCCUCGAAGGAAGUUGUGUGGGUGGGUCGGAACUGAUUUUUCCUUCUUGUAGAAUUCGAGAGACCAUUCCCAGCCAGAAUCCGCUCACAUAGCGUGAGCGCCGGGGCCUGGUGGGUGUGAGAGGGACGACCCCGGGGCAUUCGGGCGACACCGGGGCAUCACAUCCUUACAGGCUACGGGAGCGUCCCGGCCUCCUAGGAAUCCUUACGUUUGCAAAGCACUUUCCCGUCCUUUCUUUUACGAUCGGUGCGCACGACCGGCGGACACCGGCGGGGGAGACCACGGCGCCCCUACUUCGCUUCGGGGUCAGCGAGAGGGCCAGGCAAGCCUGGCAGACCGCGGGCGACGUUGGAAGGCUAAGGAGGCGGCCGGCCAGACCUGAAGGCCCACACUCGGAGGCGAACGUUUCGUGGCGUCCCGGUAGCUCGCCGUGAUCGUAUAGUGGUACUUCUUUCUGUUCCUGCAACAAGAAACCCAUGGGGAGAUCCUGCAGGACUGUUCCUGUCAUGAGGCCAAAAACUCAUUCCUGAGGAAGAAUGCAGGAGUCACCUUUCAGAAGCAAAGGUCUAAAUCAAUGGUUUCCAAACAUUAUUCUGAACUGAUAAACAGGAAUUUUUCAUCAUGGAAUGAGAAAAAAUAAGCUCACCAACUGCUUCUACCAAGUCUGCUGUCUCUUCUGGCUGUCCUAUCAGAGCAACUGUUCUGACUUCCUGGGAGGAUGGAGGAACAUACAACCUUUCAUCAGAGCAAGAAGUUCCUACAAAACACAUGCUGGCUUGUUCAAGAAGAUCCUGCUGAGCCUGUUUGGGUGAGGUGUUGAGAAUUCACGGAAGCAAGAGACGCAAUUAUUUUAGGAAUGUGACCUUGUGUCAAGACAAUUACUACAUGGAAAGCAACUCUCUUCACAAACUGAUCUAAAGGGCUAUUUGAUGUAUAGAUCUUAAUUACUUGUAAGUGAACCAUAAUUUAUUGGAGUUGCACUUCCAGGAAUAGGUAAAAUCUGAGGAUAAACUAUUUUUCAAAACUGUACUAUUUGAUAGACUUAAAUAUUUGAGAGAAUCUGGGUUUGGCUCUUGAUUUACAGCAGGGCCUGGUUCUUGUAGCCUUUACAAGAGAAGCCUAGUAUGUAUUACUUAUUUCUAGCUUUAUUAUUAAGAUCAAUGAUAUAAAAUACCUUAAAAAGGGAGAAAACAUCUGUUUAAAAUAUACUGUCAGUGAUGUAUGGGACAUUGAUCCCAUUAUGAGAGAGAGGUGGGAUAGUGAAAACAAAAAUCUUUUUUUGUUAAAGAUUUUAUUUAUUUAUUUGACAGAGAGAGAGAGAUAGCUAGAGCAGGAACACAAGCAGGGGGAGUGGGAGAGGGAGAAGC